rnacentral:rRNA from 1 species
AAACUUUGCAAUGUGCGCAAGCACGACAAGGUUAAUCCGAGUGAUUCCUGCUAAAGGAAUCUUUUGUUAGUUGUAAAACCACUGAUGAAUAAGGGGUGGGCAAGUUCUGGUGUCAGCCGCCGCGGUAAAACCAGCACCUCAAGUGGUCAGGAGGAUUAUUGGGCCUAAAGCAUCCGUAGCCUGCUUUGUAAGUUUUCGGUUAAAUCCAUCAGCUCAACUGAUGGGCCGCCGAAAAAACUGCAAAGCUAGGGAGUGGGAGAGGUAGACGGUACUCGAUAGGAAGGGGUAAAAUCCUUUGAUCUAUUGAUGACCCCCUGUGGCGAAGGCGGUCUACCAGAACACGUUCGACGGUGAGGGAUGAAAGCUGGGGGAGCAAACCGG